rnacentral:rRNA from 1 species
AACGAACGCUGGCGGCAGGCCUAACACAUGCAAGUCGAACGCUCCGCAAGGAGAGUGGCAGACGGGUGAGUAACACGUGGGAAUCUUCCUAUCGGUGGGGAAUAGCUCAGGGAAACUUGGGGUAAUACCGCAUACGCCCGUAAGGGGAAAGAUUUAUCGCCGAUAGAUGAGCCCGCGUCUGAUUAGCUAGUUGGUGGGGUAAUGGCCCACCAAGGCGACGAUCAGUAGCUGGUUUGAGAGAAUGACCAGCCACACUGGGACUGAGACACGGCCCAGACUCCUACGGGAGGCAGCAGUGGGGAAUCUUGGACAAUGGGCGCAAGCCUGAUCCAGCCAUGCCGCGUGAGUGACGAAGGUCUUCGGGUUGUAAAGCUCUUUUAGCAGGUACGAUAAUGACGGUACCUGCAGAAUAAGCCCCGGCUAACUUCGUGCCAGCAGCCGCGGUAA